rnacentral:lncRNA from 1 species
CUAGUGUCCUCGCGAAGGGUGCGGAGCACCCUAACUCGCACUCGCACACGCGCACAUGGCGUGGGCGAUGAGGCGCAAUGUGGCGCUUUGAUGACGCACUUUGCACUUCGCACGCUCGCAUCGCCGCAGCCGCUUGAGAGCCGCCUUUGUAUUUUUGACCACGUGCGCGUGGUUGAUCACAGGGGCUGCUGGGACCAAGUAGCGUGCGGGUUAGACGCGCGAGUACAGGUGGCACGAAGGCGCGCGGUUGCGCAUGGUGCAUGGGUCCUGUUAUGCGUGCGCGGCGCACCAGAGUGAGCCAAUACGGCGCGACUGUGUGGCGUGCUCGUAGAGGCUCACAGGUGACGUGGCGCACGCGCACAUGGUCCUAAGUCAUGGUGGCGCAUACGCGCAUGGCAGUGAGCCAGUUGGACGCACCGCACAUGAGCGUGCAGACCUGCGCGCGCACCAGUGUCUCCUGCGCGCGCGCACGCAGAAGCUUCCAGC